CUGCAUAAGCCCCAGCGGCUGGGCUGGUCAAAACCUCCACAGAAAACUUUCCUCCCCUCUUAGUUCAUAAACUCAUCUUUACAGUUAAAAGGCAAGUGACUCCUUGUGACGCCCUAAGAAGCUGAUAUUAAGAUGAUUACUGAUGUUUUACAGCCAAUGAAGAAAUUAAGUCUCAAAAUAGACAACGUGAAGAAAAACAAUUGAAACAAACAAGGCGGCAAGCAUGAACUGCCCUCUCUGAGUUCUGUCCCAAGAUUUUGGCAGCUGGCCACUCCUAGCUACUUCAGUUCGAGGCUGCCCACGUCAAAUAGAUAUCU